rnacentral:tRNA from 1 species
GCCAGCGUUGCUCAAUGGAUAGAGCGUCAGCCUGCAGACUGAGGGUCAUGGGUUCCAUUCUGGUUGCAGGCU